rnacentral:rRNA from 1 species
GACGAACGCUGGCGGCGUGCUUAACACAUGCAAGUCGAACGGAAAGGCCCCCACCUUGGUGGGGGUGCUCGAGUGGCGAACGGGUGAGUAACACGUGGGUGAUCUGCCCUGUACUUCGGGAUAAGCUUGGGAAACUGGGUCUAAUACCGGAUAGGACCAUGGUUUAGUGUCUCAUGGUGGAAAAAUUAUUGUUUUGGUGCAGGAUGAGCUCGCGGCCUAUCAGCUUGUUGGUGGGGUAAUGGCCUACCAAGGCGUCGACGGGUAGCCGGCCUGAGAGGGUGGACGGCCACAUUGGGACUGAGAUACGGCCCAGACUCCUACGGGAGGCAGCAGUGGGGAAUAUUGCACAAUGGGCGCAAGCCUGAUGCAGCGACGCCGCGUGGGGGAUGACGGCCUUCGGGUUGUAAACUCCUUUCGUUAGGGACGAAGCCACACCUUUUUUGGGUGUGGUGACGGUACCUUUGUUCAGAAGCACCGGCUAACUACGUG